AGUGAACGCUGGCGGCGUGCCUAAUACAUGCAAGUCGAACGGAGUGGCGCACGGGUGAGUAAUGUAUAGCUAAUCUGCCCUACACUAGAGGACAACAGUUGGAAACGACUGCUAAUACUCUAUAGUGUAGGAUGAGGCUAUAUUGUAUCAGCUAGUUGGUGAGGUACUGGCUCACCAAGGCUAUGACGCAUAACUGGUCUGAUAGGAGGAUCAGUCACACGGGAAAUGAGACAAGGUCCAGACGCCUACGGGAGGUAGCAGGAGGGAAUAUUGCUCAAUGGGGGAAAACCUGAGGAAGCAACGCCGCGUGGAGGAUGAAACUUUUCGGAGCGUAAACGCCUUUUGUUAGUGAAGAGGUACCUAACGAAUAAGCACCGGCUAACGCCGUGCCAGCAGCCGCGGUAAUAC
rnacentral:rRNA from 1 species